GGUAACCUGCCCUUAAGUCUGGGAUACCAUUUGGAAACAGAUGCUAAUACCGGAUAAAAGCUACUUUCGCAUGAAAGAAGUUUAAAAGGCGGCGUAAGCUGUCGCUAAAGGAUGGACCUGCGAUGCAUUAGCUAGUUGGUAAGGUAACGGCUUACCAAGGCGAUGAUGCAUAGCCGAGUUGAGAGACUGAUCGGCCACAUUGGGACUGAGACACGGCCCAAACUCCUACGGGAGGCAGCAGGU
rnacentral:rRNA from 1 species